AGAAGCAACUCCAUUGAGUGGUUCAACUGUUCCAAUCUGUGGAUUAUCCACUAGCACAGCAUGUUCAUUAUGGGACUGCAACAAGACAUUGUUAGAAUGAAAUAAACUGAAUCAGAGGAAAUAACUGAGGGAAAUGACAGAAAAUGGAAAACCAAACAACAUGCUCCUCUCACCUUCGCUUUGGUGGCCGAGUCAUCCAAUGAUACACAAUCUGGUUUGAUAUUUCUGGCUGCGAGUUCUUGCUUUUUGACCUCUAAGAAACUCCUCUUUUCAUCUUUGCUAUAAAUUCUUACAGUUGCAGGCUUUCCCAGAGGAUCCAUACAUUUCAGGGGCAAGACAUUUGAGCUGUUAAACUUAUUCCCAUCAAAGAUUUUCUUUUCCUCCAGGGGAAUAUCUCCACAUCCACGGGAUAGUUCAAUUGUUCGUGUUUGCAGAGUCUCCACCACAGCAUUUUUAUUCUGUGAGCUAGAUGUUUGGCCUUGGAGUGUUUCAAUUGUUGCUGUCCUCCUAUUCUCCACUGUAGCAUGAUCAUUACGCGAACUAGAUAUUUGGCCAUACUGCAACCAACAUAUUGCUUGAGAUCAAUUGAAUCAGAGGAGCCCACUAAGGCAUAAUCCUAGUCUCAUGACAAACAUUAGCAGUUUCAUUUCUAAAAUUGUCUGGAAGCUAUAUUACAUUAUGAUUUUCUACUUCUUUGAAUGGUCUUGUUUGUUAUUUCAUGGCUUCACCAAUCAAAUCCCAAUAAGCACGUUUGCAAGAAUUACCAGUGAAGGAACCAUGGAAAUCUUUGUGCAGUCGGUGAUCGUUCCUCUCAAAUUAGGCAUUGAAUUUGAUUUCUCUAUGGCUUGUUCAAUUUCUUUUUUGUGAUUGUUCUGGGGUGAUUUUGAUGCAGCACUGUGCUCUCUGUUUUUUUCUACCUGCCAAUGUAAAACAUUCCAUCUUAUAAGCUUAUACAGGAGUAAAUAAUUAAAUCAACUGGAGACUCUUGAAACUCAGAAUUGUCCUAGUCUGUUAUUUUGAAUUUCACUGAGAAUAUGGAAUCCUUGCCAUUGACUUACCCAUCAAACUCAAUGCAAAAGAUCCUAACUUGAAAUUAAUAAUUAGACACUAGGAGUGAAUUUAGGAGCUUGUUUCACCUUUGCUUUGGCUUCUAAUUCAUCCAGAGUUACACAUCCUGGUUUGAUAUUUCUGGCUGCAAGUUCCAGCUUCUUAACCUUUUCGACCCUGGAUUCAUCAGUGCUGUAAGUUCUUGCAAUAUCAGGCUUUUUUGGAGGCUCCAUAUGUUCCGGGGAGGAGAUAUGUAACCCAUUGAACUUAUUCUCAAUGAAGCCUUUCUUUUCAUCUAGUGGAAUCACACCAUACAGUGAUUUGAUUGUUUGUGUUUGCCAACUCUUCAUCAGAACAGCAAGUUCAUCAUCUGAGCUAUGCAUUGCACCAUACUGCAAUGCAGGAGAUGAAACAUAUUGAAGAAAGAUAAAUGGCUGAGGCAUAAUCUUAAACAGUUGCUGAAGGUCUGAGUGCAAGUCAACCGAGCUAAUCAGUGAGUUUCCCACUGCCUGAAUCCAAGACUGUUUGCAAAAGUAAAAAGGUUGAUGAAGGUCUGAAUCCAAGUUGACCAAGCCAAUCGAUAUCAACCUCAGGAAUGAUGCAGAUGUUGUCUAUGAAUCCGAGCACUUUCAGCUUCAAGUAAUGAUCAACCAAUUCCUCAUCAGUUGGGUGGAAUCUGUAUCCAACUGGCAGAUUCUCUGGGAUGAUCACAGUUACCA